rnacentral:rRNA from 1 species
GUCUACAGCCAUGCCACCCUGAACAAGCCCGAUCCCGUCUGAUCUCAGAAGCUAAGAAGGGUCGGGCCUGGUGAGUACUUGGAUGGGAGGCCACCUAGGAAGACCAGGUGCUAUAGGCA